AUUGAACGCUGGCGGCAUGCCUUACACAUGCAAGUCGAACGGUAACGGGUCCUUCGGGAUGCCGACGAGUGGCGAACGGGUGAGUAAUAUAUCGGAACGUGCCCAGUAGUGGGGGAUAACUGCUCGAAAGAGCAGCUAAUACCGCAUACGACCUGAGGGUGAAAGGGGGGGAUCGUAAGACCUCUCGCUAUUGGAGCGGCCGAUAUCAGAUUAGCUAGUUGGUGGGGUAAAGGCCUACCAAGGCAACGAUCUGUAGUUGGUCUGAGAGGACGACCAGCCACACUGGGACUGAGACACGGCCCAGACUCCUACGGGAGGCAGCAGUGGGGAAUUUUGGACAAUGGGCGCAAGCCUGAUCCAGCAAUGCCGCGUGCAGGAAGAAGGCCUUCGGGUUGUAAACUGCUUUUGUCAGGGAAGAAAUCUUCUGGGCUAAUACCCCGGGAGGAUGACGGUACCUGAAGAAUAAGCACCGGCUAACUACGUG
rnacentral:rRNA from 1 species